UUUAUACUACAAUAGAACCUUGCAGUUACAUUUAUAGAAAAUACCCGCAAUUCAAUUUCAUAUAAUUACAUUACAUAUAAUAAAUCCUAUUUUUGGAAUAGCUAUUGUCCAGAGGAAUUAUCUUUCUCUUUUAAAGACAUCUGAUUUUGUAGUUGUAGUUUUGAUCUGUAUGAUGGCAUGUUUAAUUUGCCUAUGGUAGCCUAAAGUUAAUACCAAGUCACUAUUUCAAACAUGGGUUUAGCUUUGUAGAAAUAAAGUGUUUCCAGUUUUGACUAUUUUUCUUUAAAAAUCCACGAGGGAAUUAUUCUUAUGCACAGCUGUCCUUAAUAAUUACAACAGUGGUCAUUUUAUUCAUAUAAUUAAAAAACACUUGCAAUUGUGUACCUAAUAAGUGCCGCAGCAGCAGAAGCAGAAGCAGAGUGGAGUUGCUCCACCUUGCAAAAGGGAAGAUAACAAUUGCAGCCCACGUGCUUCUGGCACGUGGGCUAUAUGGGUUUGUGGUUUGCGGUAAAUAGUUGUUAGCAGAAUAAAGUUUCCUUUGUUAACAGAAACACAAUCACCAGUGCGCAUCUGUGGUAUGUAAAGAGGAAAAUGCACAGUUCAUCAUCAUAAGCAAGGAGCUCUCGUUGAUCUUAGAUGAAUCAAAAAAACACAGGACAUGAUGUUUGUCUAUUCUUUGUGCCAAGGUGGUGAGCACUUCCAGGAAAUUAACCUUGUUUUGAGUGGUUGACGAUCGGCAAGUAUAAUUCAGAAGAAGAAUGUCUCUAAAAGAUGUUGAAUAGAUAUAUAUAAUCCAACCAAUGAGCAUGGACUAUCUGUUUUUUCAAUCUCACAGCUGAGAUGUUGAACCAAGGAAAAGAGGAAAACUCAAUAACCCAUGUUCUGUCUCAAGAAAACAGGUAUGUUUUAUUUUUCUUUAGGUUUUGGGGGCAUAAUGAUGAACAAUUUAAUGUUCUUUGUUUGGGAACACAUGUUCAAUCAUGUGUCAUCAGCAUAUAUGGAAUACAUAGUUGGAAAUAUGCUUUGGAGUUAUUAGUUUUGGUAUGUUUUUAUGGAGGGCGAGAGGUACUUUUAUAUUUUUACAGUGGAUCAUAUUUUUUAUAAAAAAACUAAGUUAGUUAGUGUAUAAGAUAAAUUGAUGAGAGAUUCUUCCUGUUAAAAUAAAAAGUCUGACACAAUUGAAAAACUGUUGUCAGAAAUAACCAAGGGAAAAGAUUUAAUGUUAUUAUUGAAAAAUCAUUUUGACAGUCUCAACAUUGCUGUACAUUAAUUAGCAUAAUAUCAUAUUCGAUAAGCAUGACUGACGUGGUCGAACGAAACCGAAUAUAAUGCAUGGGGAAGAAAGAACAAUGGAGUCCCUCAAACAAUUAACAACACGUGUAAGUUUAAACAUUUUCGGCUGAAAUACAAGUAUUUGGUAAAGUAGGUAUUUGGAGGUGAAUUUAUUGAAUUAUAAUCAAGUGUGUUUGUAGCUGAACACCUUAAAUAUCCUAGUCCGAGAUUAGCUCCUCUCAUGGCUUUUUGACAGACUCAAUGCUGUCUGUUCCGUUAGUGCCAGUCAUUAAGGACAGAGCUGGUAUGUAUGUAGCCUAGAUAAUUACAGGCCCAUUGCUUUACAGUAAACUGUCAACAAAUAUAGAGGUCAUAACUUUGCAGUUAAAGUGUCAGUAUCAUAAUAUGGGAAUUAUAUGAAGCAUUUCAUUUUUAUAAUACAUUUUUGAUGGCAUUGCAUAUUUCCAUCGAGUGUGUGGACAAUGCCGACGGAGUUCCUCGUGUGGUCGUCUAUGGCGAUAGAACAUUUGCUAUUUCUUCUGAACAAGAUACCAUUAUAGAGUGGACUGCUUCUGGUGAUGGACUAGGACCUUACAGGUUAGAUAAGGCAAAUCUAUAAUAAGACAAUAUAAAGGAAACACAAGGCACCUGCAACUAUUUGCGGAAGUGAAAGGAAUUGUAAUGACAUUACAAUUCCUUAUCCUCUAUUUAUGGUGGGAAGUUCCUAUGGUUUGAAUCAUAACCACGAGACGGUAAUUAUCUGAAACAGAGGACCAAAGCAGACCAACAUGAACGAAGGAAAGGUCAAGAUUUUGUAAGGAUCUAAAAAAAAAAAAAAAAAGGUAUGUUCUGUUUUGGCAAAAUCAAUUUACAGACAAAGAAAUAUAUAGUAUGUUGUCCGACAGAGAGGUCUAACUCCCUGUUAGAACUCUUGUGAACAAAUUGUUAGAAAGAGAAGUCCAAAUAGUCUUAUUUGGGAUUUUGAAGGACUAGGGCUGUGUAAAAAGUAGUUUUGAUAUUUCUUUAUAGAGGGAGAGAGUUACUGAUAUUUUUCACUGCGAGUGGUAUUUUCUAAAUAAAUCAUAUUUUAGUUUGGAAUAACAGAUUUUCCUUCUGUAAUAAAAAAAAGAUCCUCAACAUUGUUGUAACGUUUAAUUCAUACAAUGUUGAACACUGACGUGGUCUGGCGCCAGCAUGUAACUGCAACGUAAAAAUAUUCAGUGAUGAACCAUUAAAAUGGCGACUGUAAAUGGACUCCCCGUAAGUUUGUUUAAAAUAUUGUUGUUGCUAGCAUUUAGAGAAAUUCAGCAUUAAAUCAUGCAAUUUGCUGUUGAAGUGGAACUGGUCUCUAUGGGAAUCUUACGAUACUUGUUUUGAUGAUAUUGCAGAUAUCUAUCGAAUGUGUAGAUAAUGCAGAGGGAUUUCCUGGUGAAAUCAUCUACGAUGAUAUGACAUUUCCCAUUCCUUAUCAACAAGGGGCUGCUUUUGGUGCUGGACAUGGAGCUAACAGUUCUGUGAGACCUUUCCAAUCCCCCCAUCCUGAGGAUGAGGAAACUCCCAUGGAGUGGGAUCCUCCAGACUCAAACUGAUUCAAAGCAUCGUGGAUCUCCUCUCAAUCAAAUCACAUUCUCACCGGAGGAGGAAGAGGAGGAGGAGGAGGACACAGACACCUACAAUUCAGAGAUGAAGCUGAAAAGUAUAUUCAAUGCCUUUAUGACUAGCAGGUUCUUUGUAAUAUACCAACAUUCAGGGUUUAUAGCCAUGAAAGCAGCUCUGGAAAGGCUGCAUUUGGCCACUUAAAAUAUGAACUUCUUUUUACACACAACGAUGUGUGACUGAUGUGGGAAUGUGAAUAGUCUAAGACAGGGGUCUCAAACUCCCGGCCCGCGGGCCAAAUCCGGCCCGCCACGUCAUUUUAUGUGGCCCGC